AACGAACGCUGGCGGCAGGCUUAACACAUGCAAGUCGAACGCCUGUAGCAAUACAGGAGUGGCGGACGGGUGAGUAACACGUGGGAACGUGCCCAAAGGUACGGAACAACUCCGGGAAACUGGAGCUAAUACCGUAUGUGCCCGAGAGGGGAAAGAUUUAUCGCCUUUGGAUCGGCCCGCGUCUGAUUAGCUAGUUGGUGGGGUAAUGGCCUACCAAGGCGACGAUCAGUAGCUGGUCUGAGAGGAUGGCCAGCCACACUGGGACUGAGACACGGCCCAGACUCCUACGGGAGGCAGCAGUGGGGAAUAUUGGACAAUGGGCGCAAGCCUGAUCCAGCCAUGCCGCGUGAGUGAUGAAGGCCUUAGGGUUGUAAAGCUCUUUCGCCAGGGACGAUAAUGACGGUACCUGGAUAAGAAGCCCCGGCUAACUUCGUGCCAGCAGCCGCAGUAA
rnacentral:rRNA from 1 species